GUUGUCCAUUUAUUCUGCAGUUUUUGUUGUUUGCUGACCAUGUCCUAGGCACUAUGGAAGGUGCUGGAAUGUGGGAACAAACUGGCAAAGUCCUGCCUUAUGAAGUUUGCAUUGCAGCAGAUAGCAGGUAGAAGUGGAGAUGAAUUUUAUGCACAUACUUUUGGUUAAAAGCAAAUGCUAGAAAAAAAAAAGAGUCACAGAAUGGACAUUGAUUAAGGCAAGAGGCUACUAGAGUUGGAGACUACAAGGGAUGGUUUUGUGAAAUGACAUUUAGACUGACAUAUGUAUGCUAAGAAGAGGGGAGUCUUGCAAAGAUCUAAGGAAGAGGGUACCUGGGAGAAGGAAGGGUCAGUGCAAAGCAUCAAGAUGGAGUUAAGCCUGUCUGAUUCAAGAGAUCAAAAUGAGGUCAGUGUGUCUGGGGCAGCCUGUGGGAGGAAGAACAAAGUAGGAGAGGAAACUAGAGGCUAGACCAGAUCCCCAGGUGGGGCCUCGGAGGAUUAC
rnacentral:lncRNA from 1 species